rnacentral:lncRNA from 1 species
ACAACUCACCAUUUCUAUCCUUCCUCAGACAAAGAGAUUGGUAAAUAUCAUCCAGGGCUUUUCUGCCUUAAAGGCAGUCUGCCAGCUGUUUGAAGAGAUCGAAUCUCAUUUAGAGGAAGGAAAGCACAGAAGACGGAGGAUAACUGCAUGGUUUUGAGGCUGGGAAAUUGAAGAUCAAGGUGCCAGCAGGUUCAGUGUCAAAAGGGGUCAAAGGGCAAAAGGGGAUGAAUACUGUGUCUUCACAUGGCAGAAGAGAAGAUGAGAGGGAAUCCACUCCCUGAAGCCCUUUUGAAAUUAUAGCAUAUGGCAGACACAGAAACCAUCACAAACCAAAGCAGGAAAUAACAAAGUCAAAUCAAUGGUGGAAGCAGAAAGGUCAGAAGACUUGGAAGAAGGGUGGAUAUAAAUCAGGAAGGCUUCAUAGAGGAUUUGGGAUUUUUAAGAAUGAAUUCAGAUAAAGAGGGAGGGGCUAGGCAAAAUUGGGAAAUGUUGGUCAAAGAGUAGAAACUCUCAGUUAUAAGAUGAAUAAGUUC